AAUAUUGGGACAUACAAACAAAACACAACUCUGUUCCGCAGAGUAGCUGUUGACAUUAUAGUUACGCAAGCACUUUGUUGACUCUAGAGAACCUCGGGCCAAUCGCACAUCCCCGUGACGGCGACUUUGCGUUCGGAUGUCAUCCAUAUCAAUUUUCGAUGCCAGUUUCUGUGCUUACCAUAGUGACCACGGGUAAUGGGGAAUCAGGGUUCCGUACAGAGACCCUGAGAAAAGGCUACCAUGUGCAAGGAAGGCAGCAGGCGUGGAAUUGACCCACUCCCGACGCGGGAAGGUACUGA